rnacentral:rRNA from 1 species
AUUGAACGCUGGCGGAAUGCUUUACACAUGCAAGUCGAACGGUAACAGGUUAAGCUGACGAGUGGCGAACGGGUGAGUAAUACAUCGGAACGUGCCCAGUCGUGGGGGAUAACGUAGAGAAAUUUACGCUAAUACCGCAUACGAUCUAAGGAUGAAAGCGGGGGACCAUAAGGCCUCGCGCGAUUGGAGCGGCCGAUGUCAGAUUAGGUAGUUGGUGGGGUAAAGGCCUACCAAGCCGACGAUCUGUAGCUGGUCUGAGAGGACGACCAGCCACACUGGGACUGAGACACGGCCCAGACUCCUACGGGAGGCAGCAGUGGGGAAUUUUGGACAAUGGGCGCAAGCCUGAUCCAGCCAUUCCGCGUGCAGGAUGAAGGCCCUCGGGUUGUAAACUGCUUUUGUACAGAACGAAAAGGUCUGGGUUAAUACCCUGGGCUCAUGACGGUACUGUAAGGAUAAGCACCGGCUAACUACGUGCCAGCCGCCGCAGUAA